rnacentral:rRNA from 1 species
GGCCCUUCGUGAACUUUUCCUUACACUCAAUCGCCAGGGAACUACGAGCUAAGCUUAAAACCCAAAGGACUUGACGGUACCCCAUAUCCCCCUAGAGGAGCCUGUCCUAUAAUCGAUAACCCACGUUAAACCUCACCAUUUUUAGUUAAUCAGCCUGUAUACCUCCGUCGUCAGCUUACCACGUGAGCGUUAAUUAGUGAGCCUAAUGUUUUUCACCAAUACGUCAGGUCAAGGUGCAGCAAAUGAAAUGGGAAGAGAUGGGCUACACUCUCUAUUUUAGAAAAAACGAAAAACUACCUAUGAAACCUAGUUAGAAGGCGGAUUUAGCAGUAAAAAGGAAUCAGCAUGUCCCUUUUAAUCCGGCACUGGGGUGUGUACACACCGCCCGUCA